GUACAAAGGCCGUUCAGCGUCGGGAUUUACACUCGGCUCGACACGGAUAUGUGAAGAAUGAAGGGACCCUGCAGCGAAACGGAGAGCCAACCUCUGACUGAGUGCCUGUCAACACAGUCUGACCACCUGUUGAAGGGCUGUUUGAUGACGAUUUGGACUCCUCUGGGAGAUGAGGACACACCCACAUCUGUUCCAUACUGCAGCCAUGGAUGGUGUUACAGCUCUGAGUCAGCUUUGGGCCAUCAGACGCACACACUGGAAAACCAGCGCCUAUACUUCAUGCAGGAGAGACGGCCUCAGUGAUAAUUCAUCAGCAGCUGUGGAGAGAUGCAUUUGAAUAUCUUCUGGUUCCACUUUUC
ensembl:lncRNA